GUGCUCCCUUCAGCAGCACAUAUACUAAAAUUGGAAUGGCACAGAGAAGAUUAGCAUGGCCCCUGCACAAGGGGCCAUGAAAUGCAAUUAGUGAAGCGAUCCAUAUUUUU
rnacentral:snRNA from 1 species